ensembl:lncRNA
CAGAGUCUCAUCUAUGACACACCUGCAGCUGAAAAAGGGAUUUCUACUAGCACUGUGUUUCUGAAAGUAGCCAAUGAAACCUUGGCCUGCCUACCAAUGACCUACUAUCCAGAGCCUGAGUUCACUAGCUUCACAUCCACAAGGACAGGGGACGAUGUGCGCAUCACCAUACAGAAAAAGGCAGACAAACUGGAGAUGACCAUAGCAGAGUUGGAGGUGUGGGGCGUUGAGGAAGAAAAAAAACACCCCUGCAUCAUGGUAACCAAAGAAACCAGUAAUGAGACUGACUUUUUCAUCUGUGAGAUUCAAAGGACAGCCAACGCUAACUUUCAGCAGUUAAUGAUAAAGUAUGGUGACAAGACAGUAACGCUCGGACCUCCAUCUUUAGUACAUCUGGUCCUUAAUAUACUGCGUUUUCUGCUGAUACCCUGUAUUAUGUUGGGUAAGUACACAAAGUAGGCUUGAUUGAUAAAGUGAUUUAUACUGUGAUAAAUAUAUGAUGAAGGCUGCAUUUAUUGCAUCAGUUCGACUCCGGUGUUUGUGAAAACCUCAACUUGAAUUAUUGUAACAAUUUUUGAUGAUGAUUGUGUAUGUUCAAUGCUGGUGUUCUACCACUUUCAAUAGAAUCUAGGCACCCCAUAGUGGUAAAAAAUACAAACUGAGAAGCUUUUUCACCCUGACUGAUAUGUGUAGUACUGGAAGGAGGACUUUAAAGCAGAAAGAGUAGAAACAGUCUUUACCUUAUAGCUAAUAACGGGAAGCAAUGUGAGGAGAGUCUGUUUCUGCAAGUAAAGCCAACGGGCUGAGGCAGAAAGUCCGCAGAUAAGAGUUGUCAAAACAAGAGCUGGCAGCUCACAACUAGAACAAGACUGGAGCAAUAAGGGAACAGGAUAUACGUAGAUCAUCUCACCGAGCAAAAUGCUCAAGAUAUUGAAUAUGAAUCCAAAAUAUGCACCUUUGCGGGUUCAGUCCAAAAUCACUGGUUGUGGCCUUAAAACCCAUCUAGGUCAAACAUCAGACAUUUCCCUUUUUGUUGCCAUUUUCUGGAUUAAAUGCCAUUUGUCUGACAUUUAAAUCAGAAGAAGAAAAUAUAUUACAACCGUAAUUGUGUUUGUCUUUCAGUAUUGGUGGCUAUCUGUCUAUGGCAAAGGAAGCUCACUGCUAAAACGAACAAGCUGGGACCAUCAUGCCAAACCUUGUGAAUGUUUUGCUUCUCCGUUAUCAAAAUAGACAUUAUACUUUUUAUUCUACCGGGGUAAAGUUCAAUCUUGGGUCCCAAAAUGAUGUAGAGGGAAGCAACCUUAACUAUACAGGGAGUGUAGGAGGGCUUCCAGCACUCUUUAGUAUUUUGCUUUUACAGUAUCUUAUAACGCCUUUGGUAUUUAACUCAGGUAUAGUUGUAUCUUGGCCACAAUAAUUUAAAUGUGUGUCCAGGCAUAGAAAUCAGGGUUUAGGGACUUUUACUUGGGUAAUUAAAGGGUACUUUUUGCAUUUUUUAGGUACGGAGUAUAUUAGAGAGACUCAAACUGGGGACAUUGCAUUAAAAUGGUCAGCAUCUUAAACCUCUAGAGUCUAGUCCACAAAGUCCCCUUAUUUCUUUUUUAUGUUAAUUGUAUUUCCAUUUGGCCCUCUUCUCAGUUAUUGUUACAUUGUACCUGUGUUUUUUUUCCUUAAAUGUUUCAAAUCUUUAUUCUGGGUUUUACCUUAGAUGUAUGAUUGUAAAUUAUUAGUUGAAUAUUUGAAUUGGAAACUUACUCCAAGAGAUGAAUACAAAAUAUGAAUAUGCAGCCUGGACUUGAUUGAAAACAAACUGAUUUGGGAAACAGAUUUAAUGUGACUUAACUGUCUUCCUUUGCAACCUUGACUCCAGGAAGUCACUGUGACAAGCCAAGAAAUAGUCAGGUACAUAACCUUGUACAUAACAUAACAGAGUCAGGUACAUAACCAUGUGCGAAACCACAACUUGAGGUUUUUACAGAUUUUUUU